rnacentral:misc_RNA from 1 species
AUUUUGAUCAAUACUGCUAGCAAAUUCUGGUGCCAACUGAUUUCCUGUCUUACGCCCACCAUAAACUACUCUUAACUUGGGUGCAACAGGCAUGUUUUCUUUUGGAGUCUUUGUCUUAGUACUCUUGUCUUUAUCAGUCGGUUCCGGACCAAAACCUCUUCUCUCCUUGGCAAAGCAGACAACCUUGCGAGCUUCACCGUCACCGCCG